rnacentral:tRNA from 1 species
GCCGAGGUAGUUCAGUGGUAGAACGCAAACUUGGUAAGUUUGAAGUCGUGGGUCCGAUUCCCUCCCUCGGCU